AAACUCACUUUCUGGUACGCUAUCACAACCUAGCGUACGACACCAAGACUCCAGGAAUGGAGAUGGCGGCAGGUGGGCCGCAUUUUAAGCCACCCAGGUGAAGUGCUUCGGCCAGACACUUAUCGUAUCACUAUACUAGUGUUCAGGGUUCAAGACCUUGCUGUCACCGUUCUCAACGUAUGUCUUCGAAUCCCGACUUCCCUUGUCUCUUCUCACGCCUAACGCUGGGUCGUCCAUCGUGGACGAGAUCCUCC
rnacentral:lncRNA from 1 species